rnacentral:rRNA from 1 species
GUCCACACAGUAAACGAUGAAUACUCGCUGUUUGCGAUAUACAGCAAGCGGCCAAGCGAAAGCAUUAAGUAUUCCACCUGGGGAGUACGCCGGCAACGGUGAAACUCAAAGGAAUUGACGGGGGCCCGCACAAGCGGAGGAACAUGUGGUUUAAUUCGAUGAUACGCGAGGAACCUUACCCGGGCUUAAAUUGCAUUUGAAUAUAUUGGAAACAGUAUAGCCGCAAGGCAAAUGUGAAGGUGCUGCAUGGUUGUCGU